rnacentral:rRNA from 1 species
UCCAGACUCCUACGGGAGGCAGCAGUGAGGAAUAUUGGUCAAUGGGCGCGAGCCUGAACCAGCCAAGUCGCGUGAGGGAAGACGGUCUUCGGAUUGUAAACCUCUGUCUUUGGGGAAGAAAAUGACGGUACCCAAAGAGGAAGCUCCGGCUAACCACGUGCCAGCAGCCGCGGUAAUACGUAGGGAGCGAGCGUUGUCCGGAAUUACUGGGUGUAAAGGGAGCGUAGGCGGGCGAGAAAGUUGAAUGUUAAAUCUACCGGCUUAACUGGUAGCUGCGUUCAAAACUUCUUGUCUUGAGUGAAGUAGAGGCAGGCGGAAUUCCUAGUGUAGCGGUGAAAUGCGUAGAUAUUAGGAGGAACACCAGUGGCGAAGGCGGCCUGCUGGGCUUUAACUGACGCUGAGGCUCGAAAGCGUGGGGAGCAAACAGGAUUAGAUACCCCUGUA